GACGAACGCUGGCGGCGUGCCUAACACAUGCAAGUCGAACGGGGCUGAUUCCUUCGGGGAUCAGCUUAGUGGCGAACGGGUGAGUAACGCGUGAGAAACCUGCCUUUCAGUGGGGGACAACAGUUGGAAACGACUGCUAAUACCGCAUGAUGCAGCGAGGGGGCAUCCCCUUACUGCCAAAGCUUUAUGUGCUGAAAGAUGGUCUCGCGUCCGAUUAGCUAGUUGGUGGGGUAACGGCCCACCAAGGCGACGAUCAGUAGCCGGUCUGAGAGGAUGAACGGCCACGUUGGGACUGAGAUACGGCCCAGACUCCUACGGGAGGCAGCAGUGGGGAAUAUUGGGCAAUGGGGGAAACCCUGACCCAGCAACGCCGCGUGAAGGAAGAAGGCCUUCGGGUUGUAAACUUCUUUUAGCAGGGACGAAGGACGUGACGGUACCUGCAGAAAAAGCAACGGCUAACUACGUGCCAGCAGCAGCCGCAGUAA
rnacentral:rRNA from 1 species